GAUGAACGCUGGCGGCGUGCCUAAUACAUGCAAGUCGAGCGAACAGAUGAGGAGCUUGCUCCUCUGACGUUAGCGGCGGACGGGUGAGUAACACGUGGAUAACCUCCCUAUAAGACUGGGAUAACUUCGGGAAACCGGAGCUAAUACCGGAUAAUAUAUUGAACCGCAUGGUUCAAUAGUGAAAGACGGUUUUGCUGUCACUUAUAGAUGGAUCCACGCCGCAUUAGCUAGUUGGUAAGGUAACGGCUUACCAAGGCAACGAUGCGUAGCCGACCUGAGAGGGUGAUCGGCCACCCUGGAACUGGGACACGGUCCAGACUCCUACGGGAGGCAGCAGUAGGCAAUCUUCCGCAGUGGUCGAAAGCCUGACGGAGCAACGCCGCGUGAGUGAUGAAGGUCUUCGGAUCGUAAAACUCUGUUAUUAGGGAAGAACAAAUGUGUAAGUAACUAUGCACGUCUUGACGGUACCUAAUCAGAAAGCCACGGCUAACUACGUG
rnacentral:rRNA from 1 species